rnacentral:sRNA from 1 species
UUUUUCCUACUUUCGAUAUAGUAAAGCGAUCGCUGUAAAAAUUUAUCGAUUGACUGCUUUAAAUAAUCAUUUUGAAUUUUAUUUUAAAGAAUAUUGUAUCGAAAAUAUGUGACUGAAGGUGUUUAUUUCUGAAAAUUACAUUGUCGCUUGCUUACCAUCCGCGUCAAUACAGCGCUUUCACUCGCCUUGUUUUGGUUGCGAGCAGCUGACAGCGGUGUGUCAACAUUUUCAUACGAUGCAUGGCCUGCAAGACGCCGAGAGUGGAAAAUGCAGCUCAACCAUCGUUUGAGAGAUAAUAAAGCCCAACAUGGACUUCUGCUACCACCUGGCGACAUGGGUUUUUCGGGUCGAUUCUUGUGGUUUCAACUCUUGAGGUUACCCUGUCUUCCCUACCCACAUAUUCCCUGUGUUCUACAGACUAUUUAAUAAAAAAAAUAACCUGAUAAUGCAUAAACAUGAUGGAUAAAAAGGUGCUCAUCAUCAUGCUUUGGUGUAUUUUGAAUGUGUGAAGACAUUAUUAAAAACAAAAUUUAAGCUGUUUAAAAAAAUUACAAUUGUGAGUUUUGAAAUUUUGCUUUUUAAUAAAAGUAUAAAUU